rnacentral:lncRNA from 1 species
UGGGCGGAGCUACACUAUGAGGUGGUGGGGCAAUUGCCCCCCCUCAAAAAAAUUUUAGCAUACUUACUAUAUUAAUAUAUAUGUAUAAUUAUUAUUUUUUAGAAAAGUUUGCCCCACCAAAAUUUUGAGAAAAAAGGGGCAAAAUGUGGAGAUUGGAAAAAAGUUUACUUUGAUAAACUACAUUCUUUUUCUUUUGUCUAACGUGGAGAUCGGAAAGAAAAUAAAGAAGUUAAAUUUGCACCAAUUCAGAAGUCUUGCAAUAUAGAUGGUGAAGACAAAAAGAGAUGUUGUGUAUUCAUUGGUGUAUAAGUUUAUUAAACUGGCACUUGUUUUACCUGUGACAACUACAACUGUGGAAAUAGUUUUUUCUGCUAUUUAGAUUGUCAAAGUCAGCUUCGAAAUCGAAUGGGUGAUCGUUUGAUGAAUGAUUGUUUAAUUAGUUACUUAUACUGAGAAAGAAAUUUUUGAGACAGUUGAUAAUAAUUUGAUAUUACGUCGCUUUCAGAAUAUGAGUGAUCAUAGAGAAUUAUUUUUAUCAAAGUUAUUUUAAAUUUUCUUAUCAUGUUCUGCCCCCCUUGUCUUUAGGGGCCUGGCUCCGCCCCUG